rnacentral:tRNA from 1 species
GCGGGGGUGCCCGAGCCUGGUCAAAGGGGGCGGACUUAAGGUCAUAGAAUGAGAAAUCCGCUGGCGAAGGCCUGCGUGGGUUCAAAUCCCACCCCCCGCACCA